rnacentral:tRNA from 1 species
GCUUUGAUGAUUCAGUGGUAGAAUUUUCGCCUUCCAUGCUGGAGACCCAGGUUCAAUUCCUGGCCAAUGUU